rnacentral:rRNA from 1 species
GGUUAAGCGACUAAGCGUACACGGUGGAUGCCCUGGCAGUCAGAGGCGAUGAAGGACGUGCUAAUCUGCGAAAAGCGCCGGCGAGGUGAUAUGAACCUUUGACCCGGCGAUGUCCGAAUGGGGAAACCCAGUGCAAUUCGUUGCACUAUCGUUAACUGAAUACAUAGGUUAACGAGGCGAACCGGGGGAACUGAAACAUCUAAGUACCCCGAGGAAAAGAAAUCAACCGAGAUUCCCCCAGUAGCGGCGAGCGAACGGGGAGCAGCCCGGAGUCUGAAUCAGCUUGUGUGUUAGUGGAACGGUCUGGAAAGUCCGACGGUACAGGGUGAUAGUCCCGUACACGAAAGCACACAUGCUGUGAACUCGAAGAGUAGGGCGGGACACGUGGUAUCCUGUCUGAAUAUGGGGGGACCAUCCUCCAAGGCUAAAUACUCCUGACUGACCGAUAGUGAACCAGUACCGUGAGGGAAAGGCGAAAAGAACCCCGGCGAGGGGAGUGAAAAAGAACCUGAAACCGUGUACGUACAAGCAGUGGGAGCACCUUCGUGGUGUGACUGCGUACCUUUUGUAUAAUGGGUCAGCGACUUAUAUUCUGUAGCAAGGUUAACCGUAUAGGGGAGCCGAAGGGAAACCGAGUCUUAACUGGGCGUUAAGUUGCAGGGUAUAGACCCGAAACCCGGUGAUCUAGCCAUGGGCAGGUUGAAGGUUGGGUAACACUAACUGGAGGACCGAACCGACUAAUGUUGAAAAAUUAGCGGAUGACCUGUGGCUGGGGGUGAAAGGCCAAUCAAACCGGGAGAUAGCUGGUUCUCCCCGAAAGCUAUUUAGGUAGCGCCUCGUGAACUCAUCUUCGGGGGUAGAGCACUGUUUCGGCUAGGGGGCCAUCCCGGCUUACCAACCCGAUGCAAACUACGAAUACCGAAGAAUGUUAUCACGGGAGACACACGGCGGGUGCUAACGUCCGUCGUGAAGAGGGAAACAACCCAGACCGCCAGCUAAGGUCCCAAAGUCAUGGUUAAGUGGGAAACGAUGUGGGAAGGCACAGACAGCCAGGAUGUUGGCUUAGAAGCAGCCAUCAUUUAAAGAAAGCGUAAUAGCUCACUGGUCGAGUCGGCCUGCGCGGAAGAUGUAACGGGGCUAAACCAUGCACCGAAGCUGCGGCAGCGACACUAUGUGUUGUUGGGUAGGGGAGCGUUCUGUAAGCCGUUGAAGGUGUGCUGUGAGGCAUGCUGGAGGUAUCAGAAGUGCGAAUGCUGACAUAAGUAACGAUAAAGCGGGUGAAAAGCCCGCUCGCCGGAAGACCAAGGGUUCCUGUCCAACGUUAAUCGGGGCAGGGUGAGUCGACCCCUAAGGCGAGGCCGAAAGGCGUAGUCGAUGGGAAACAGGUUAAUAUUCCUGUACUUGGUGUUACUGCGAAGGGGGGACGGAGAAGGCUAUGUCAGCCGGGCGACGGUUGUCCCGGUUUAAGCAUGUAGGCGGAGGUUCCAGGUAAAUCCGGUACCUUAUUAACGCUGAGGUGUGAUGACGAGGCACUACGGUGCUGAAGUGAUAAAUGCCCUGCUUCCAGGAAAAGCCUCUAAGCAUCAGGUAACACGAAAUCGUACCCCAAACCGACACAGGUGGUCAGGUAGAGAAUACCAAGGCGCUUGAGAGAACUCGGGUGAAGGAACUAGGCAAAAUGGUGCCGUAACUUCGGGAGAAGGCACGCUGAUAUGUAGGUGAAGCCCCUGCGGGUGGAGCUGAAAUCAGUCGAAGAUACCAGCUGGCUGCAACUGUUUAUUAAAAACACAGCACUGUGCAAACACGAAAGUGGACGUAUACGGUGUGACGCCUGCCCGGUGCCGGAAGGUUAAUUGAUGGGGUUAGCGGCAACGCGAAGCUCUUGAUCGAAGCCCCGGUAAACGGCGGCCGUAACUAUAACGGUCCUAAGGUAGCGAAAUUCCUUGUCGGGUAAGUUCCGACCUGCACGAAUGGCGUAAUGAUGGCCAGGCUGUCUCCACCCGAGACUCAGUGAAAUUGAACUCGCUGUGAAGAUGCAGUGUACCCGCGGCAAGACGGAAAGACCCCGUGAACCUUUACUAUAGCUUGACACUGAACACUGGUCCUUGAUGUGUAGGAUAGGUGGGAGGCUUUGAAGCGUGGACGCCAGUCUGCGUGGAGCCGCCCUUGAAAUACCACCCUUUAAUGGCUGGUGUUCUAACGUAGACCCGUAAUCCGGGUUGCGGACAGUGUCUGGUGGGUAGUUUGACUGGGGCGGUCUCCUCCCAAAGAGUAACGGAGGAGCACGAAGGUUGGCUAAUCCUGGUCGGACAUCAGGAGGUUAGUGCAAUGGCAUAAGCCAGCUUGACUGCGAGCGUGACGGCGCGAGCAGGUGCGAAAGCAGGUCAUAGUGAUCCGGUGGUUCUGAAUGGAAGGGCCAUCGCUCAACGGAUAAAAGGUACUCCGGGGAUAACAGGCUGAUACCGCCCAAGAGUUCAUAUCGACGGCGGUGUUUGGCACCUCGAUGUCGGCUCAUCACAUCCUGGGGCUGAAGUAGGUCCCAAGGGUAUGGCUGUUCGCCAUUUAAAGUGGUACGCGAGCUGGGUUUAGAACGUCGUGAGACAGUUCGGUCCCUAUCUGCCGUGGGCGCUGGAGAAUUGAGGGGGGCUGCUCCUAGUACGAGAGGACCGGAGUGGACGCAUCACUGGUGUUCGGGUUGUCAUGCCAAUGGCACUGCCCGGUAGCUAAAUGCGGAAGAGAUAAGUGCUGAAAGCAUCUAAGCACGAAACUUGCCCCGAGAUGAGUUCUCCCUGAGACUUUAAGUCUCCUGAAGGAACGUUGAAGACGACGACGUUGAUAGGUCGGGUGUGUAAGCGCAGCGAUGCGUUGAGCUAACCGAUACUAAUGAACCGUGAGGCUUAACCUU